rnacentral:lncRNA from 1 species
UGAAAUAUGGGAGACCUGGGUUCAAACCCUGAGUUGGGAAGAUACCCUGGAGGAGGGCAUGGCAACCCACUUCAGUAUUCUUGCCUGGAGAAUCCCCGUGGACAGAGGAGCCUGGCAGGCUGCAGUCCAUGGGGUUGCAAAGAGUUGGAUACAACUGAGUGACUAAGCACAUCACACAGCAAUGCAAAUUAAGUGUUUAAAACAAGGGACAUUUCUUCUUUUCUUUUGCAGUGGGCAUACCAAACCUCCCACUAACAUGGCCCCUUCCUAAAGGUAUUGCUGAGUAGACAGGAGUUGUUGGUUUGCAAUGGGAACACCAGGUAUUAUAACAUUGCUGUCCAGCUUACUGAUACAUUCCCAAGUCAACUUCUUAUAGGAUCUCUUCCCAUCUCUCCUUCAUCAGAUUUAACUCAGAGGUCCUGAGCUAGAAGCUAAGCUAACCACCAAGAAGGGUGCCUCUGGUCAAGUAAGGAACUACCAACCAUUCUAAGACCUGUUGGGCGAGCUUAUCAGGUUCCCAAUUUCUCCAGAAAUGCCUGGCGGUUUCAAGGAUCGAGAUAAGCACAGCUGUAAUCUACCAUGAUCCAGAGCUUAUUCACAGAUCACAGCUGUGUAAUUUCAGUACUGCCAACCCCAGGAGGUGUGUGGACCUUCAUCAUCCUACCUUUGAACUUCCCCUUCAGGGACAGUCUCCUGACACGACCUGCAUAGAUCCAGCGAUGCCCAGCUGUGGGGCCUAUAAAUACCAGAUUUCAUUGCUGACACAAUUGCCCAUAUGUGGACAGAAUUUCAAGCCUUCUCAUUUUAGCUUUAUUCUAGCUUUCUCUUCCUGCUUUGGCAAGCCUGUUUAAGCAAGUACGCAGGACCAUGCAGACAGGUAUGGCUUUAACCUAAGAGUCUCCUUGUGCCUGUCUUCCCUUGAGUGGUACAAAUAUGCU